UACGUAGGGUGCGAGCGUUGUCCGGAUUUAUUGGGCGUAAAGGGCUCGUAGGCGGCGUGUCGCGUCGGGAGUGAAAGCCCGUUGCUUAACGGCGGGUUGGCUUUCGGUACGGGCAUGCUGGAGUGCGGCAGGGGAGACUGGAAUUCCUGGUGUAGCGGUGGAAUGCGCAGAUAUCAGGAGGAACACCGGUGGCGAAGGCGGG
rnacentral:rRNA from 1 species